rnacentral:misc_RNA from 1 species
AAGUCGUAACAAGGUCUCCGUAGGUGAACCUGCGGAGGGAUCAUUAACUUGUAAUUGCAUGCAAUUAAACACUGCAUGCAAUAAUAAAACAACAAACAAACCAACCCGUGAUCACGUGUCUUAACUGUACACAAUGCCUGCCCCGGAAGGAAAAGCGCAACGGAGCAUUGAGUUGCUGACCAGUAGUGGGUCACCGUUUGGCGUGGCUGUAGUAUUGCAAUUGCGUUUCGCAAUUGUUUCCAUUUGCAGCCUGGUGUCACGACCGCGCUUAGUAGUUUCGGAACAAAUUUAACAAUUAACAAUUCUCACCGCACGUAUAACAAUUGACUGAAACAAUUGGUCGUUGUGAUUGUUGCACAAACAAUUGCAAUAGCCGAACUUUCGAGUUAUUCGAAAUCUAAGCACAACUCUUAGCAACGGAUAUCUUGGUUCUCGUAACGAUGAAGAACGCAC